GUGAGGAAUUUUCCGCAAUGGGCGAAAGUCUGACGGAGCAAUGCCGCGUGAAGGAUGAAGGCCUAUGGGUUGUAAACUUCUUUUCUUAGAGAAGAAUAUUGACGGUAUCUGAGGAAUAAGGAUCGGCUAACUCCGUGCCAGCAGCCGCGGUAAUACGGAGGAUCCGAGCGUUAUCCGGAUUUAUUGGGUUUAAAGGGUGCGUAGGCGGCUUUAUAAGUCAGAGGUGAAAUACGGCAGCUCAACUGUCGCAGUGCCUUUGAUACUGUAGAGCUUGAAUGUGAUUGAAGAUGGCGGAAUGAGACAAGUAGCGGUGAAAUGCAUAGAUAUGUCUCAGAACCCCGAUUGCGAAGGCAGCUGUCUAAGUCAUGAUUGACGCUGAUGCACGAAAGCGUGGGGAUCAAACAGGAUUAGAUACCCCUGUAGUCC
rnacentral:rRNA from 1 species